rnacentral:rRNA from 1 species
GACGAACGCUGGCGGCGUGCUUAACACAUGCAAGUCGAGCGGCGCGGCGAACGGGUGAGUAACGCGUGAGUAACUGCCCUCCUCUCUGGGAUAACAGUUGGAAACGGCUGCUAAUCCCGGAUAGCGGGGGAUGACUCGCGUCCUAUCAGCUUGUAGGUGGGGUAGUAGCCUACCAAGGCGACGACGGGCAGCCGGCCUGAGAGGGCGACCGGCCACAUUGGGCUGGGAUAUGGCCCAAACGCCUACGGGAGGCAGCAGUGGAGAAUAUUGCACAAUGGGGGAAACCCUGAGGCAGCGACGCCGCGUGCGGGAUGACGGCCUUCGGGUUGUAAACCGCUUUCAGCCAUGACGCGGUAGUGGCAGAAGAAGCACCGGCUAACUUCGUGCCAGCCGCCGCGGUAAUUC